GAUGAACGCUGGCGGCGUGCCUAAUACAUGCAAGUCGAGCGAAGAGACGAGGUGUUUGCUCCUCCGACGUUAGCGGCGGACGGGUGAGUAACAUGUGGAUAACCUAGCUAUAAGACUGGGAUAACAUCGGGAAACCGGAGCUAAUACCGGAUAAUAUAUUGAACCGCAUGGUUCACUAGUGAAAGACGGUUUUGCUGGCACUUAUAGAUGGAUCCGCGCAUCAUUAGCAAGUUGGUAAGGUAACGGCUUACCAAGGCAACGAUGGUUAGCCGCCCUCAGGGGGUCAUCGGCUACCCGGUUAGUGAGGCUCGGCCCCGACUCCGACGGUGGGCCGCGGUACGGACUCUUCCGCGAUGGAGCAGUGCCUGACGGUGGACCACCGCGUCAGUCAUGAAGUUCCUUGGCUCGUUAAGCUCUGUUAUUCGUAAAGUUCAAAUGUGUAAGUAACUAUGCACGUCUUGACGGUACCUACACAGAAAGCCACGGCUAACUCCGUG
rnacentral:rRNA from 1 species